rnacentral:rRNA from 1 species
UACAGAGACUGCAAGCGUUAUUCGGAUUCACUGGGCGUAAAGGGUGCGCAGGCGGCCAGGUGUGUUAGGCGUGAAAGCCUGAGGCUUAACCUCAGAAUUGCACCUAAAACUACAUGGCUAGAGCAUUGGAGAGGGUAGCGGAAUUCACGGUGUAGCAGUGAAAUGCGUAGAUAUCGUGAGGAACACCAGAGGCGAAGGCGGCUACCUGGACAAUUGCUGACGCUCAGGCACGAAAGCGUGGGGAGCAAAAGGG